ensembl:lncRNA
CCCUGACUAGCCUACGACACAAUGAUCCUCCCCAGACUAGCCUACGACACAAUGAUCCUCCCAGGCUAGCCUACGACACAAUGAUCCUCCCAGACUAGCCUACGACACAAGAUCCUCCCCAGACUAGCCUACGACACAAUGAUCCUCCUGAACUAGCCUACGACACAAUGAUCCUCCCUGGACUAGCCUACGACACAAUGAUCCUCCCUGACUAGCCUACGACACAAUGAUCCUCCCUAGCCUACGACACAAUGGUCCUCCCUAGCCUACGACAACAAUGAUCCUCCCUAGACAGCCUACAACACAUGAUCCUACCUAGACUAGCCUACAACACAAUAUCCUACCUAGACUAGCCUACAACACAAUGAUCCUACCUAAACUAGCCUACAACACAAUGAUCCUACCUAAACUAGCCUACAAACAAUGAUCCUACCUAGACUAGCUACAACACAAUGAUCCUACCUAGACUAGCCUACAACUGUAUCCUUCCUAGACUAGCCUACAACACAAUUAUAAUUCCUAGACUAACCUACAACACAGAUAUCCUUCCUAGACUACAACAGUUAUCCUACCUAGACAACAACAGUUAUCCUACAACACAGAUAUCCUUCCUAGACUACAAACACAGUUAUCCUACCUAGACUACAACAGUUUCCUACCAAACUAGCCUACAACAGUUAUUCUACCUAGACAACAACACAGUUAUCCUACAUCACAGAUAUCCCCUAGACUACAACAUUAUCCUACCUAGACUAGCCUACAACAGUUAUUCUACCUAGACUACAACACAGUUAUCCUUCAUCACAGAUAUCCUUCCUAGCCUACAACAGUUAUCUUUCCUAGCCUAGCCUACAACGUUAUCCUACCUAGCCUAGCCUACAAACAGUUUAUCCUACCAGCCUAGCCUACAACAGUUAUCCUACCUAGCCUACAAACAGUUAUCCACCUAGCCUACAACAGUUAUGCUACCUAAACUUAGCCUACAGUUAUUCUACCUAAACUAGCCUACAACAGUUAUCCUACCUAGACUACAACACAGUUAUCCUACAUCACAGAUAUCUUCCUAACUACAACAGUUAUCCUACCUAGCCUAGCCUACAACAGUUAUUCUACCUAGCCUACCCACAACAGUUAUCCUACCUAGCCUAGCCUACAACAGUUAUCCUACUAGCCUACAACAGUUAUCCUACCUAGCCUACAACAGUUAUCCUACCAUAGCCUACAACAGUAUCCUACCUAAACUAGCCUACAAACAGUUAUUCUACCUAGACAACAAAGUUAUCCUACAACACAGAUAUCCUUCCUAGACUACAACACAGUUAUCCUACAACACAGAUAUCAUUCUAGACUACAACAGUUAUCCUACCUAGACUAGCCGUACAACAAUUAUGCCUACUAGACUAGCCUACAAACAAUUAUCCUACCUAGACUACAACACAGUUAUCCUACAUCACAGAUAUCCUUCCUAGACUAAGAGUUAUCCUACCUAGCCUAGCCUACAACAGUUAUCCUACCUAGCCUAGCCUACAACAGUUAACCUACCUAGCCUACAACAGUUAUCCUACUACCUACAACAGUUAUCUACCUAGCCUACAACAGUUAUGCUACCUAAACUAGCCUACAGUUAUUCUACCAAACUAGCCUACAACAGUUAUCCUACCUAGACUACACACAGUUAUCCUACAUCACAGAUAUCCUUCCUAGACUACAACAGUUAUCCUCCUAGCCUAGCCUACAACAGUUAUUCUACCUAGCCUAGCCCACAACAGUUAUCCUACUAGCCUAGCCUACAACAGUUAUCCUACCUAGCCUACAACAGUUAUCCUACCUCAGCCUACAACAGUUAUCCUACCUAGCCUACACAGUUAUCCUACCUAAACUAGCCUACAACAGUUAUUCUACCUAGACAACAAAGUUAUCCUACAACACAGAUAUCCUUCCUAGACUACAACACAGUAUCCUACAACACAGAUAUCAUCCUAGACUACAACAUUAUCCUACCUAGACUAGCCACAACAGUUAUCCUACCUAGACUAGCCUACAACAGUUAUCCACUAGACUACAACACAGUAUCCUACAUCACAAUAUCCUACCAGCCUAGCCACAACAGUUAUCCUA